rnacentral:rRNA from 1 species
AGCAGCCGCGGUAAUUCCAGCUCCAAUAGCGUAUAUUAAAGUUGUUGCAGUUAAAAGCUCGUAGUUGAACUUCGGGAUUUGUUCGUUGGUCAGGCUUCACUGUCUGUACUGGUGUUACGAAUUCCUACCUUCUGAUGAAUCUUCAUGCCAUUCACUUGGUGCGGAGGGGAAUCAGGACUGUUACUUUGAAAAAUUGGGUGUUUAAAGCAGGCUAUUGCUCGAAUAUAUUAGCAUGGAAUAAUAAAAUAGGACGGUUGGUUCUAUUUUGUUGGUUUCUAGGAUCACCGUAAUGAUUAAUAGGGAUAGUUGGGGGCAUUAGUAUUCAAUUGUCAGAGGUGAAAUUCUUGGAUUUAUUGAAGACUAACUACUGCGAAAGCAUUUGCCAAGGAUGUUUUCAUUAAUCAAGAACGAAAGUUAGGGAUCGAAGACGAUCAGAUACCGUCGUAGUCU